GAUGAACGCUGGCGGCGUGCCUAAUACAUGCAAGUCGAGCGAACAGACGAGGAGCUUGCUCCUCUGACGUUAGCGGCGGACGGGUGAGUAACACGUGGAUAACCUACCUAUAAGACUGGGAUAACUUCGGGAAACCGGAGCUAAUACCGGAUAAUAUAUUGAACCGCAUGGUUCAAUAGUGAAAGACGGUUUUGCUGUCACUUAUAGAUGGAUCCGCGCUGCAUUAGCUAGUUGGUAAGGUAACGGCUUACCAAGGCAACGAUGCGUAGCCGACCUGAGAGGGUGAUCGGCCACACUGGAACUGAGACACGGUCCAGACUCCUACGAGAGGCAGCAGUAGGGAAUCUUCCGCAAUGGGCGAAAGCCUGACGGAGCAACGCCGCGUGAGUGAUGAAGGUCUUCGGAUCGUAAAACUCUGUUAUUAGGGAAGAACAAAUGUGUAAGUAACUAUGCACGUCUUGACGGUACCUAAUCAGAAAGCCACGGCUAACUACGUG
rnacentral:rRNA from 1 species